UCGAGCGGUACAGAAAGUAGCUUGCUACUUUGCUGACGAGCGGCNNNCGGGUGAGUAAUGCUUGGGAACAUGCCUUGAGGUGGGGGACAACAGUUGGAAACGACUGCUAAUACCGCAUAAUGUCUACGGACCAAAGGGGGCUUCGGCUCUCGCCUUUAGAUUGGCCCAAGUGGGAUUAGCUAGUUGGUGAGGUAAUGGCUCACCAAGGCGACGAUCCCUAGCUGGUUUGAGAGGAUGAUCAGCCACACUGGGACUGAGACACGGCCCAGACUCCUACGGGAGGCAGCAGUGGGGAAUAUUGCACAGUGGGCGCAUGCCUGAUGCAGCCAUGCCGCGUGUGUGAAGAAGGCCUUCGGGUUGUAAAGCACUUUCAGUCAGGAGGAAAGGUUAGUAGUUAAUACCUGCUAGCUGUGACGUUACUGACAGAAGAAGCACCGGCUAACUCCGUGCCAGCAGCCGCGGUAAUACGGAGGGUGCGAGCGUUAAUCGGAAUUACUGGGCGUAAAGCGUACGCAGGCGGUUUGUUAAGCGAGAUGUGAAAGCCCCGGGCUCAACCUGGGAACUGCAUUUCGAACUGGCAAACUAGAGUGUGAUAGAGGGUGGUAGAAUUUCAGGUGUAGCGGUGAAAUGCGUAGAGAUCUGAAGGAAUACCGAUGGCGAAGGCAGCCACCUGGGUCAACACUGACGCUCAUNNNNNAAAGCGUGGGGAGCAAACGGGAUUAGAUACCCCGGUAGUCCANGNCGUAAACGAUGUCUAC
rnacentral:rRNA from 1 species